GACAGUAUGCGACCAAUUCAAUAAAACACAAGCUGGUGGGCUGAGAAAGGGUCAAUCUGAAUUGUACUUAAAGAGGAAGUGCCCAGGCAUGAGGGUCGUGCAAUUAAUGACAUUUCAGUAAAUCAUUCACGGUUACUCCCAAUGUAUAUAUGAAUCUGAUCCUGUCUUUGGACUAUAUAGAGAGGAAAGGGGCCAUGCUAGACAGGUUAGUGCAUCUCUUCAAUUUACAGAGAACUUGGAGGUGAACGGAACCAUUGUGCGGCUGAAGAGCUCGCUGUGUCAGCCGGGAGAAGGCCCCGUUCGGCUCCGAGCCCAGCCCCGAGGGCCUCCCAGCACCAGGAUGGUUUCCUUCCUCCUCUGCCUUCUCCCUGCUCUCCUAGCUACGAGUGCACAAGCUACAGGCCAACGACUCCCUCCUCAUCCGCCGGUGCUCCAGAGAGGCGAAGAAGCUCUGGAUGACCAGG